UGUAGGAAAGAGGGCGUUGCAGACCUAAAGUGCAAGUUCUUGAAGGUAUUGCAAGUGUAGAGUUGACAAAGCAAACAACUGUGCAAGCUACAGGUGUGGCUUCAAAUUUGGUUGAGGUGAUACAAAGUAAAGGCUUCAAGUUACAGACAUUAAAUUUGAGCUUCCAGGAUGAAGAAGACUUCAGCUAGACAAAUGUACGAUGAUUUUCUCAUUUGCACUUUAAUGUAUCAAGUUCUCUAUGUGCUCGGCCUAAAUUUUGGAAUGCUCCAUUAAGUGUAUCUGUAUGAGUGCUAGUAGAAUUUUGGGGUUGUUAAUGUAAUUCACGUUCAGAUAGGAUGCAUUUCAUUGUUUACAAUUUAAUGCCACUGAGUUGUUGCUUUUUUCCUUCAUUUAUUAGGACUAUUAAGUUAACAUUCAGAUUGGAUAAUUUUCAUUGUUGAUUACAGUUUUACUGCUGCCGAGUUGUUACUUUAUUCCUUCA